AUCAAUAAAAAAGAUAAUUUUAUUUUUUAUUCAAAUAUGAUGUGUCUUUGAAUUAUUCAAAAAAUUAAUUUUUACGAUAUAUAUUCUCAAAGAGUUGAAAAUUAGAGGUAUAUAUAAUUAAUUUCUAAUUUACCCCUGAUCAUAGUAUCAUCAUGAAGAUGUUGAUCGAUCUGGAUAGACCAGUGUAUGGAUCGUUUCUUUCGAGAUAGAUGAGUCUCUAAUCUAUAGUGUAGAAAUAUUGAGUGACAAAUACGAUAGUUGUUAAAGAACAACUAGUACUGAACGUGAUCAUACGAAAGAUCACGUGAUUUUCUACUCAAUCAUCAGUGAUCAUCUCGAUGCUGUAGUUAUGUGAAUGUACCUUCAAUCUGUGGUGAUACGAUGACUCACAAUGAGGUUGCUGGAGUUUCACUGCACAGAAACAUGACCUUUUAGCCACUUGAGUCCUUAUAGUGUAUGUUGGCGACAGUUGAUCCACUAUAAGAGCAGAGUGAGCAUCUAGAUGAAAUCUAUCAACCUUGAUAAAAAGUAGUACUAUAGGAUUUGAAAGUCUAAGUCCUUAAAUCUGUAGCCACAGUAGUGUGAUUGAUAGAAAAGAGUUUCUAUAAGAAUCACAAUUAGAUUUGAGCUAAUUGAAUUCAUCAUAUGACUGAUAUUGAGGUUCAACGAUUUAUCCAUGACCUACCAUCGAGUCGAGACUCACGAUAAAGGGACUAAAUCAGAUGAAAACUACAUCUGGAGGUUUUUAUUCGAUUCUACUGGGUUGCC
rnacentral:lncRNA from 1 species